GACGAACGCUGGCGGCGUGCCUAAUACAUGCAAGUCGAACGCAGUGGGGACGGGUGAGUAACACGUGGGUAACCUCCCAUCAGAGGGGAUAACACUUGGAAACAGGUGCUAAACCUAUACUGAUGGAUGGACCCGCGGUGCAUUAGCUAGUUGGUGAGGUAACGGCUCACCAGGGCCACGAUGCAUAGACGGCUUGAGAGGGUGAGCGGCUACACUGCGACUGAGACACGGCCCAGACGCCUACGGGAGGAAGCAGUAGGGAAUCUUCGGAAAUGGACGAAAGUCUGACCGAGCAAUGCCGCGUGAGUGAAGAAGGGUUGCGGAUCGUAAAACUCUGUUGUUAGAGAAGCGGUAGCUAACCAGAAAGCGACGGCUAACUACGUGCCAGCAGCCGCGGUAAUAC
rnacentral:rRNA from 1 species